rnacentral:lncRNA from 1 species
UCAUCAUCCAAUGGUCCAUAUUAGUUCAAGACAUUAAAUAAAAUUGACUGAAUUAGAGAUAACCCUAGAGACAAACUUAUCUUCCUCGUACGUCUGUUCUCCGCCAAACCUCCACCUCACCACCGCCGGUCGGAAAUCGUCUCUGUCAGCGGGCUAUCUCCAAACCCACCCAAAUUUACACCCCUGAAUCCCCUCCACCUCCUCCUAUUUCCAAUGCCCAAAACACCAGCCUUCAAAUAUUAAAAACUGUGGAUGCGGCCUCCGCCGCCCACGGCGACGCCACCACCAAACGACCCCAAUUUUACUCCAUAGCCCCGUAUUCACCUUUCCGUACCAUAUUCACCCUUAUCUUCCCUCGGAUUUCAGCUAGUUCCUUCGAAUUUCAAAUCGAAAGUCUGGACCAAAACACCGGCUCACCCAAAUCCGACCAAAUUUACACGGUGUACCCUCCUUUCCCCUCUCUUCCCGAAUUCCAAACCAAUUCCUUACUAAUCUAGCCAGAAUCUUUCGAAUAUUGGAAUUUAGGGUUCAAACUCGAGGUCUGAAAGAAUUUCGGCUAGGCACAGGUGUUCAAGUGUCAUUCAACCGUAAAAAUUGGUUGAUAGUAUCGUUUGAGUUUUUGAAACUCAAAGCAGAUCGAGGUUAGUGAGUUUAUUUUCUUUUGUUUAUUUCAUUCUGAAUAUCACAUCCUCUCUUUAAGAUUGUUUUAGAUUUAUUUUUAGGGCUUUAAUGAGUUAUUCUUCUCUUGAAUCUAUUCUUUUUCUUUUUUGGUUUUAAUUCCUAUGCCGUUUGUUUUGAUAAUCUGGUUUGUUUGAUUGUGUAUUCGACUAGUUGAUCUUUAUAGUUUCCUGCUCGUAUGAUUUAAGUUUGUUUAUUUAAUUUGAUUUUGUAUUUCAAACCUGUUUUUGUUACAGUCUUGAUAGUCUUUAAUCAAUCCUGUGUAAGGCAUUGUUUGACUUUGAUUUGUUUAGUUUAGGAUAGUUUAGUUCAGUAUUAAUUAGUAGUUAAUCUUUAAGUUCAGUUUUUGUCCUCAAGAAAUUAAUAGGUUUAGUUUAGUUAAUUUGGUUAUAGCUGAAUUAGAUUGAUUGGUCAACCGUGGUUAAUAACAGGGUUGCGGGUUUCGGUUAACUCAGAUUUGGUAAUAUCAGAUGAAGGGGAGAUCAAUUUAUGUAUUCCAGUAAUAGGAUCUUGCAGUAACUGAAAUAGAACUCCUAGAACCUUCUAGAUUGGGUUAAAUUUGAAAUUUCAGGCUUUAAUUGAUAUAAAUUGGCCAACAAGUCAAGAACCUAAGGGCUAACUGAGUAAAACUGAAGAAAUAAGAGAAGGACUAAAGGUAAAAAAAAAUAGGAAAGGUUUCCCUAAGCUUUGCCUAUAAAAAGGCAUACCAUUGCCUUCUUUCACAAGUUUAGAACCCUGAAAAAUUCCCCAAAAAGUUGGAAAGACCCUGAAAAUUCCCAAGAAUUUCCAGUUUUUCUUCUGCAAGUUCUAUUAGCAAAAUUGAAUUUCAACUUCAAGGAAGAUAAAAAUCUGAACACUUAGUGUAGAAACACUGCUAUAUUGAAGUCUCUAGGGUAAUUUCGAGUUCUAGCCAUUGAUUUUCAUUUCCUAGCUCGACUCACAACUGUUGAAGCUUCAAAAGUGUUAUGGGUUCAAAUUCGAAUCAUUUGUUGAGUGUAUUGGAGCUGUUUUAGUAGUUUCAUUGGUUUAAAUUGAUUCUGGGUGGUUGAUACUGCUUUUAUGAGUUUGUGAGCCUUUGAUCUGCUGUAAUGUGCUGCUGAACUACUGCUGACAUCUCUCUUCUCCUUUGUUUCAUUGUAAUUCCAGGUACACACCUUUGAAUUUGCCAUGAUCUAGCUUUGAAUUGGAGUGAAAUGACAAGCAUGCAUUAGAUUUGUGUUCAUUUGGGAUUCUACUGUACAUACAAUUAAAUAGAUGUUAGUUAGUAUGUAAUUAUCUAGUAUUUGCUUAUAGACUGGACUAUUGGACUAUUAAGUUGUAUUGGGCUGCUAUAUUUAUUAGCUUAGUAUGAUUGUAUUUGGUGACUAGGUCAACUGUCAAUAUUAGUAACAAUAUAGAUAUAGAAGUUGACCUUAGAUCUUCAUUUGUAGUUAAUAAUUCAACAGAUAAACAGCUGUGAGAAAUUAUUGCAUGUUCCUAAGUGAAAAUCAGGUCGUGGAUUGUUUGGUAUUGGUUUGAUAAAAUAAUUCGAGCAUUAAGCUGUGUUUUCAACUGAAAUUGCGAUUAUAGACUGCCAUAGGCUUAUGCAUUCGAAUCUGAAGCUUACGAGUUUAAAUCUGAAGAUCAAGUUAUUUGUCAUUCACACCUACUGCUUUAAAGUUCGAUAUUAUAGAUAUUUAGCUGAAAUGGAUCUGAUUUAAAUACAUCUAUUGAGUUGAGUUUGUUUACAUUAAUUGCAACGGACCAGUCC